CGCACCGCCGCCGCAACCUAAACGCACCCGCCGCUGCAACCUUCAACGAGCAACCUAAAUGCACCGCCGCGACAACCUAAACGCACCGCCGCAACCUCAUCGUCGCCACCGCUACAAUCUUGAAUCAAGAAAUAAAGGCUCGUGUGUUCUUUGGGCAGCCAAUCCACUGUGAACAAGGAAAACAAAUUAUUUAAACAAAACAAACAAUGAAUUAAAAUCUGGAAAAAUAUUAGUAUGAAUUAAAAUCAUCAUCUUUUGAUUCAAACAAAUGGAUAGCAAAUAGACAGUUGAGACAAGCAACCGCAUGAUUCUCAGAAUAGGAUGCUACAUUUAAAAUUUGUAAUUCUGUGAACUAUAUAUAUUUUUGGUUUUAUAUAAAAUUUGUAAUUUGAUGCU